UCACUCGCUUUCUAAACCCUAAUUCAUUUCGUCCAGCCGCUCCUCCUUUCUCUCUCUGGUGAUUUUCAAUUUAGGGUUUCUUGCCUCCUUUGGAAUAAGCAAGAUCUCACCAGAUCCAUCAAUGGUGUGGUCUGUAAAAGUAGUAGAGGCAAGUUCCAACAACCCGAGAUCUAGAGUUUUAAUUUCAUAUCUGAGAUCUCGUGAUUCAACAACAGGCAGCGGCUAGGGUUCUGACCAUGACCACCUGAUCCGUUGUAUAAGGAGCUACGGAAGGCUUGUGCAGGGCCAUUAGUGGAUGUUCCAAGAGACGGAGAGAGGGUUUUCUACUUUCCACAGGGUCAUAUGGAACAAUUGGAAGAAUCUAUGAAUCAGGAAUUAAAUCAAAGGAUUCCUCACUUUAACCCAAAAUCAAAGAUUCUUUGUUGUGUUGUUCAUACUCAGCUAUUGGUAUAUAAUUUUUUGUUUUUCAGCCUCAUAACUGGUUAACUGACAAGGUGAGUUUUUUGUUAUAUUAUUUUGGCAUUUUUUAAAGUGAUUAUAAAUCGCUCUGUUAAUAUUCAAAUAUCAGCAGUUUAUAUUUGCUCCUGGUCUUAUUGGACGAAAAUGACAUUUUACUCUCUCUUAUUUUUCUUUGAUUUUAUUUAUUUCUAAUGAAUUAAUUUUGUUUGUAUGAUUUGAUAAAUCUUGAUGAAUGUGAAUUAUGAUACCAUAGAAUGAAAAAAAAUGGUAUAAUUUAGGGAAAUCUUAUGUAUUGAAAUAUUGUAAUUUAUAGGGUGAUAAUGUUGAUUGUCGCAAUGGUGUUUGGAGACUACAAGGUUCACUAGCAGUAUCAAGAGCGAUAGGAGACAAUCAUCUCAAGAAUUGGGUGAUUUCAGAACCGGAAAGUCGGAAACAUGAGUAAUCAACAUUAGACCUGAGUGCGAGUUUUUAAUCCUUGCUUCUGAUGGGAUUUGGGAUACGGUAAGCAGCCAAGAAGCAAUCGACAUUGUUCACCCCUUUUGCAUAGGAACUGCUGUCCCCGGGUUGCCUGCGCCCGGAGCUUGAUUCCGCGUUUGGCUUAUUUCGUUUGGUUAUGGGGUUGGUAUUCUGUCCCUGUCUUGAUGGAAAUUGGCUGCUGGGUUUGGCUUCCGAGUUGCAACGUCUGGGUUCGGGUUUAUCGCAUUGGCAGUUUGCUGCUGUGUUGGGCCACCUGUUUCAGCUUCGUUGAAGGCCUAGGAGGUUAUAAGGGUAAUAAAGAAGGAUAUGAAAUUCCGGCUGGUACUGAUUUAUUUAUUUCAGUGAGUGCUCAACUGUAACUUUGUCAUUUCUAUAUUGCCAAGAAUCCUUCAGAAGUCGCGUAUUAGAUUCGUGAUAUUUAACGUCUUAUUAUUUUUUGACAAAAUUAUGCUAAAGAAGUAACUAGACUUCGAAAAACGCCAUACCAAACCAGCCAGGUUGGGUGCGUCAGCUGGUUUUGCAGUUCAGUUUCAAACGGUUUAUACUCCAGCUUAUCGUUUCAGGGUGGUUAUAGUAGUGUGAUUUUAGGAACCCAAAAAAUGUGGUAUAUAUACUUUCCUUUUUUUGCUGGCUUGGAUGAUGAUUAUAUGAGGCACAAUUUUCAGGCGAGGCGCAACCAUACCGCUUUGUGCCGUCAAAGGCACUCUUCUGAAGGAGGUUUGGAGUGCUUGAUAUGAUACAAGCUGCAGAGUCUUUAACCAAGCUAAAGGCAAGAUGUGACUUGUGUGGAAAGCGCGUUUCUUUUACGUUAAAGAAGACAGACGAAACUGAGAGAGAACAGGUUGCUGGUGCAGAUGUAUACAUUCACAGACAUCACUAUGCAAGUGGUCAAGUGCUCAAAGAGACUGCAAAAGCUGCUCUUCAAACACACACGACUCAGUGUGGUUCAUUGUAUUACGUAUUCACAUGCCGUUUUCAAGCAUUAAUGUAACAGGUUUGGGUUGAACAUUAGAACUUAGAUUCAACCAACCAUUUUAACGAGGUUUUAUUUACAAUAUGGUUUUAGUUCAAAGUUUUGUUGGCGUUUUCUUGUCGGACAUGAAACACGAUCUAUCACGGUUCCGGCUAAGAAAAGCUUGGCUUGAAAAGUAGACAUCAAAUUUUGGCA